rnacentral:rRNA from 1 species
GAUGAACGCUGGCGGCGUGCCUAAUACAUGCAAGUAGAACGCUGAAGGAAGGAGCUUGCUCUUUCCGGAUGAGUUGCGAACGGGUGAGUAACGCGUAGGUAACCUGCCUGGUAGCGGGGGAUAACUAUUGGAAACGAUAGCUAAUACCGCAUAACAGUAGAUGUUGCAUGAUAUCUACUUAAAAGGUGCAAUUGCACCACUACCAGAUGGACCUGCGUUGUAUUAGCUAGUUGGUGAGGUAACGGCUCACCAGGGCGACGAUACAUAGCCGACCUGAGAGGGGGAGCGGCCACACUGGGACGGAGACACGGCCCAGACUCCUGCGGGAGGCAGCAGUAGGGAAUCUUCGGCAAUGGACGGAAGGCUGACCGAGCAACGCCGCGGGAGUGCAGAAGGUUUUCGGAUCGUAAAGCUCUGUUGUAAGAGAAGAACGAGUGUGAGAGUGGAAAGUUCACACUGUGACGGUAUCUGACCAGAAAGGGACGGCUAACUACGUG